UGAUUUUGAAUUUUACAUGUACACUUAAGAGCAUGUGUGUGAGCACAGAUUCUCCUUGUUGAUUUUGGUGGGUAGGUAUUGCUUAUUUAUACAAAGUGUUUCUGGAACACAAGAUAUCAGGCUCAAUGGGAAACUGAAACAUGGUUUUACUCACCUAGUAUUUGCACCUAUUUAUACUGAAAAAAUUUUCUCUUUAAGGUGGUUGAAGAUGGAUAUGAAUUUUUUGCAAAGAGGCAGUUGGUCACUCUGUUUUCUGCGCCCAAUUAUUGUGGAGAGUUUGACAAUGCAGGUGCCAUGAUGAGUGUGGAUGAAACACUAAUGUGUUCUUUUCAGAUUUUAAAGCCUGCAGAGAAAAAGAAGCCAAAUGCCACGAGACCUGUAACGCCUCCAAGGGGUAUGAUCACAAAGCAAGCAAAGAAAUAGAUGUCAUUUUGACACUGCCUAGUCGGGACUUGUAACAUAGAGUAUAUAACCUUCAUUUUUAAGACUGUAAUGUGUACUGGUCAGCUUGCUCAGAUAGAUCUGUGUUUGUGGGGGCCUUUCCUUCCAUUUUUGAUUUAGUGAAUGGCAUUUGCUGGUUAUAACAGCAAAUGAAAAACUCUUCACUCCAAAAAGAAAAGUGUUUUGUUUUUUAAUUCUGUUCCUUUUGCAAACAAUUUUAAUGAUGAUGUUAAAGCUGUACACCCCAGGACAGUUUAUCCUGUCUAAGGAGUAAGUGUACAAUUGAUCUUUUUUAAGUCAGUACAACCCAUAAUCAUGUAAAUGCUCAUUUUCUUUAGGACAUAAAGAGAGCCCUAGGGUGCUCUGAAUCUGUACAUGUUCUUGUCAUAAAAUGCAUACUGUUGAUACAAACCACUGUGAACAUUUUUUAUUUGAGAAUUUUGUUUCAAAGGGAUUGCUUUUUCCUCUCAUUGUCUUGUUAUGUACAAACUAGUUUUUAUAGCUAUCAACAUUAGGAGUAACUUUCAACCUUGCCAGCAUCACUGGUAUGAUGUAUAUUUAAUUAAAGCACACUUUUCCCCGACCGUAUACUUAAAAUGACAAAGCCAUUCUUUUAAAUAUUUGUGACUUUCCUAAAGCCAAAGUUUCUGUUGAAUUAUGUUUUGACACACCCCUAAGUACAAGGUGG
rnacentral:sRNA from 1 species